UUUAGUCCUAUUAUAAUCGUUCCACUGGUUUCUGUUGUGGGUCUUGGGCUCUUUGCAAGGGGAUUCCCACUUCUUGCUAGCUGUGUAGAAAUUGGCUUGCCUAUGCUAAUAUUCCUGGUUAUCUCCCAACAGUAUUUGAAGCGCAUCCAUUCCACGACUCAUCAAAU